rnacentral:tRNA from 1 species
GCAACUGCCUUCUAAGCAGUAGGUAGGGGGUUCGAGUCCCUCUGGUCCCG